rfam:Rhizobiales bacterium 65-9 SCNpilot_cont_300_bf_scaffold_1013, whole genome shotgun sequence.
AAAAUCUAUGGGCUAUUCAGAGCUCGACCGCCGACACCGGUCAUGAUCGCCUUCAUUGACGACAAUCGCGGGGCCUAUGGGGUCGAGCCGAUCUGCAAGGCGCUGCCGAUCGCCCCG